rnacentral:rRNA from 1 species
GGAGUUAGCCGGUGCUUCUUCUGCGAGUAACGUCACAGAUGUAAGGUAUUAACUUACACCCUUUCCUCCUCGCUGAAAGUGCUUUACAACCCGAAGGCCUUCUUCACACACGCGGCAUGGCUGCAUCAGGGUUUCCCCCAUUGUGCAAUAUUCCCCACUGCUGCCUCCCGUAGGAGUCUGGGCCGUGUCUCAGUCCCAGUGUGGCUGAUCAUCCUCUCAGACCAGCUAGGGAUCGUCGCCUAGGUGAGCCUUUACCUCACCUACUAGCUAAUCCCACCUGGGCUUAUCCAUCAGCGCAAGGCCCGAAGGUCCCCUGCUUUCCCCCGUAGGGCGUAUGCGGUAUUAGCAGUCGUUUCCAACUGUUAUCCCCCACAAAUGGGCAAAUUCCCAGGCAUUACUCACCCGUCCGCCGCUCGUCAUCUUCAAAAGCAAGCUUUUGAAAUGUUACCGCUCGACUUGCAUGUGUUAGGCCUGCCGCCAGCGUUCAAUCUGAGCCAGGAUCAAACUUGA